GGGCCCGCACAAGCGGAGGAGCAUGUGGUUUAAUUCGAUGAUACGCGAGGAACCUUACCUGGGCUUAAAUGUUAGAUGCAAUUCUGCGAAAGCGGAAGUUUCUUCGGAACAUCUAGCAAGGUGCUGCAUGGCUGUCGUCAGCUCGUGCCGUGAGGUGUUGGUUAAGUCCCGCAACGAGCGCAACCCCUAUCAUUAGUUGCCAUCAGGUUAAGCUGGGGACUCUAAUGAAACUGCCUACGCAAGUAGAGAGGAAGGCGGGGACGACGUCAAGUCAUCAUGGCCCUUACGCCCAGGGCUACACACGUGCUACAAUGGUAGGUACAAUGAGAAGCUACUUGGCAACAAGACGCA
rnacentral:rRNA from 1 species